rnacentral:rRNA from 1 species
UGGUGGAGCGAUUUGUCUGGUCAAUUCCGAUAACGAACGAGACUCUUGCCUACUAAAUAGUUCGGGGACCCCCACAAAGGGGCCCCGCUUCAACUUCUUAGAGGGACAGGUGGCGUUUAGCCACACGAGAUUGAGCAAUAACA